CCACCAGCCCCACGAAUGAUCCGUGGCACGCUUCACACCUAGCAAUGCUCAGGUGCUACUGCCAAUACACUCAUCCGGCUGAACUAAAUCCGCACUCCACGAGUAACUAUACUCGAGCGCUAUACGCGCCUCUAUAGCGUUCCAACUAUGUCAAGCAUCAGGCAACUUUGCCUAUGCACACCGGCCACACGAGCACGACUCACCCACCUUAAUUCGAGGUACUACUAGGCCAACGCGCCCGUAUUUGGCAGCCAAUCGCUCUACCGGAGCAACAUCUAGAACACUCAAACCAUUCGAGUGUCCACAAGUGUCAUGACACAACUCUCGCAAUCAAUUACA
rnacentral:lncRNA from 1 species